ACAGUUCCCCUUCACAUUGUACAACACAAAAAACUAACAAGUUUCUCGACUUCGAUAGAACUCUAUAGAGACUGUGGCUGCUACCUGACUCGUCACCUUUUCAGGGGCGUGGCCGAGCCGAAAAAAAAAAACAAAGGGCAACUGACA